rnacentral:tRNA from 1 species
GGUUACCAGGGGUGGAGACGUAUGGAAAUGGUUAAGAUGUUGGUCAAAGGAUACAAAGUUGCAGUUCUAUAGGAUGAAUAAGUCUAGAGAUGUAAUGCAUAGCAUAACUAUAGUUAAUACUGCAUUGUGCAUUGGAAACUUGCGGAGAGUACAUUUCAUGCGCUCUCACCACUUACACAAAAUAGUAACUGUGAAGAGAUGUAUUAUGUUAAUUAGCUUGACUGUAGAAAUCAUUUCACUGUGUACAUGUAUCAAAACAUCAUGUUGUACACCUUAAAUAUAUAGUUUUUAUUUUUAAAACACUGUUUGGGAUUAAAAGCCCAGCUAAUUCUGCCUUAAUAUCUCAUUCUUAUCCACAAUGUCCACCCAUAAGAAAGACGCCCGAUACUCCGUGUAAACACACACUCCCCAUCUCCCAUACAAAUUUACCUUCUAGAGAGAGCCCUUUUCCCCAAACUCUCCUCUCAAAACACUCUGAAGCACAAGGUCUUUAGCCUAGUUAGACAUUUUCUGAAAAACUUAGUUUAACUCAGCGUAGAGACACCAUGAAUUUCAGAGACCCAGUCCUGGGCCUGCUUCAGUUGCUUUAGCCUAGAGUUUCAACUCCCAGGUCCCGGGGAGGGAUGCUCCAAGGAAGAAAUAGAGGCCCUAUUCCAGGGCUGUUUCUCGCAGACUAGCCACAGAAAAUGCAGCCCAGCGCCACUUCCUUUCAGUAGCAACACGUUUCCAACACGUUUGUUAAGCGGGAACGGAAGUGAGCGGAAAGGAAUGCGUUUGGUAAAUCCCACUUUAAGGAUUUCGUAAUCCUCCCAGGGAUUCCCACCACCCGCACUCCACUCGCAGACUGCGGGCCUUCCUCCGACGCUGGGAGAAGGACCCUGGGAGAGGCAAGGGAAGGGCUCCGGAACCAGCGCAGCAGCGGGACGCUAGCCCGCCCACACGGCGGCCACUUGAAGGUCCUCCAGGGAACACCUGAGGCAGUGGGAGCGUCUGCCCUUUCCUAAGUCUCCUUGGAAAGAAGUAUUCGCUUUCGUUUCCGCAAACAAAGCAUGCUCCGCGCUUUCAGGACCGGUGGCUCCCGUGGAGACCGCAGCGGAACCCAGUCCGCCUUCGCACGCGUCCGGGGGAGAAGCGGCCCCAGGACUAAGGGCGCGCGCCCGAGGAACCGGUGCUGUGACGACCAGAGCAAACACGCCGGAUGUUCCUGUGUAGGCUGUGUAAGGAGUGACCGGAAGUAGAAACUGGGUGCUCCAGUGGCGCAAUCGGUUAGCGCGCGGUACUUAUAUGGCAGUAUGUGUGCGAGUGAUGCCGAGGUUGUGAGUUCGAGCCUCACCUGGAGCAUUGUUUUCCAACCCAAAAUAGCAUUACUUGAAGUGCCUUUCCCCCUGUAAUCCGACUCCAUCGUCUUUAACGUGUUUGGAAUUGUGUACACAGUUUAUUGUUAUUGGUUUCCUUAGCCUUUUUAGAACCAAGCAACGCCAAUUACCAACAAAAUCCGUUGCGCCGCAGUGAGUUAGCUACCUUCUAUCUCCACUUUGUUCUGCACGUCGAUCUCAGGAGAAGCCAGCUCCCAUGUUAAGAAGUUCAAAUACCUAGAGACUGCGAUGGUUUGCAGAGGCUCAAGCUAACCACAUGGAAAGACAUGGAGAGAUAUUCCUUGCCAACCCUCAACUACUCCAACUAUUCUAAGACAUCAAACCUGCUUUGCCUAUUUCCACUUGCCUUCUUGUACUUCUGCUAUUGUCAUAAGAAAAACAAACCGCAGGUCACCCACCGGUCUGAAGAGGAGGAUGAGAGACAAAGAAAAAAGUUGUCUGGCUGCCUCUGCUGUCUACAGAUUGAAGAAGAUCCAUCCAGCUGAGCCCAGCCUAGACCAGCUGACUUCUCCAAUAAGCCUGUAUGAAAUAAAUGCUUAUUGUUAUGUGACCUUGAGCUUUGAAGAUAGUUUGUUAUGCAAUAAUUGUUGAUUCUUUCACCCUGUCUUUGUUGAACUGUUAUAGACGUCUUAAUAGGAGUUCACAAUUCAG